ACUCAAAGGAAUUGACGGGGGCCCGCACAAGCGGCGGAGCAUGUUGCUUAAUUCGACGCAACGCGAAGAACCUUACCAAGGUUUGACAUCACUCGAAAACUCACAGAGAUGUGGGGUCCUUUUGGGGCGGGUGACAGGUGGUGCAUGGCUGUCGUCAGCUCGUGUCGUGAGAUGUUGGGUUAAGUCCCGCAACGAGCGCAACCCUUGUUCCAUGUUGCCAGCGACGCCCUUUGGGGUGGUUGGGGACUCAUGGGAGACUGCCGGGGUCAACUCGGAGGAAGGUGGGGAUGACGUCAAGUCAUCAUGCCCCUUAUGUCUUGGGCUGCAAACAUGCUACAAUGGCUGGUACAGAGGGCUGCGAUGCCGUGAGGUGGAGCGAAUCCCUAAAAGCCGGUCUCAGUUCGGAUUGGGGUCUGCAACUCGACCCUAUGAAGUCGGAGUCGCUAGUAAUCGCAGAUCAGCAUUGCUGCGGUGAAUACGUUCCCGGGCCUUGUACACACCGCCCGU
rnacentral:rRNA from 1 species